GACGAAGGAUGCAAGCGUUAUCCGGAUUCAUUGGGUUUAAAGGGAGCGUAGGUGGCCUUAUAAGUCAGUGGUGAAAUCUCUGGGCUUAACCCAGAAAUUGCCAUUGAUACUGUAGGGCUUGAGUAUAGAUGCCGUUGGCGGAAUAUGACAUGUAGUGGUGAAAUACAUAGAGAUGUCAUAGAACACCGAUUGCGAAGGCAGCUAACGAAACUAUAACUGACACUGAGGCUCGAAAGUGUGGGGAUCAAACAGG
rnacentral:rRNA from 2 species